rnacentral:rRNA from 1 species
UACAGAGGGUGCAAGCGUUGUUCGGAAUUAUUGGGCCUAAAGCAUCCGUAGCCGGUUCUACAAGUCUUCCGUUAAAUCCACCUGCUUAACAGAUGGGCUGCGGAAGAUACUAUAGAGCUAGGAGGCGGGAGAGGCAAGCGGUACUCGAUGGGUAGGGGUAAAAUCCGUUGAUCCAUUGAAGACCACCAGUGGCGAAGGCGGCUUGCUAGAACGCGCUCGACGGUGAGGGAUGAAAGCUGGGGGAGCAAACCGG